GGGAUAACCCCGGGAAACUGGGGAUAAUACCGGAUAACGCAUAUAUGUUGGAAUUCUUUAUGCGUAAAAUGGAUUCGUCCGCCCAAGGAUGGGUCUGCGGCCUAUCAGGUAGUAGUGGGUGUAAUGUACCUACUAGCCGACGGCGGGUACGGGUUGUGAGAGCAAGAGCCCGGAGAUGGAUUCUGAGACAUGAAUCCAGGCCCUACGGGGCGCAGCAGGCGCGAAAACUUUACAAUGCGGGAAAUCGUGAUAAGGGGACACCGAGUGCCAGCAUCAUAUGCUGGCUGUCCGGGUGUGUAAAAUACACCUGUUAGCAAGGGCCGGGCAAGGCCGGUGCCAGCCGCCGCGGUAACACCGGCGGCCCGAGUGGUGAUCGUGAUUAUUGGGUCUAAAGGGUCCGUAGCCGGUUUGGUCAGUCCUCCGGGAAAUCUGACGGCUUAACCGUUAGGCUUUCGGGGGAUACUGCCAGACUUGGAACCGGGAGAGGUAAGAGGUACUACAGGGGUAGGAGUGAAAUCUUGUAAUCCCUGUGGGACCACCUGUGGCGAAGGCGUCUUACCAGAACGGGUUCGACGGUGAGGGACGAAAGCUGGGGGCACGAACCGGAUUAGAUACCCGGGUAGUCCCAGCCGUAAACGAUGCUCGCUAGGUGUCAGGCAUGGCGCGACCGUGUCUGGUGCCGCAGGGAAGCCGUGAAGCGAGCCACCUGGGAAGUACGGCCGCAAGGCUGAAACUUAAAGGAAUUGGCGGGGGAGCACAACAACGGGUGGAGCCUGCGGUUUAAUUGGACUCAACGCCGGACAACUCACCGGGGGCGACAGCAAUAUGUAGGUCAGGCUGAAGACCUUGCCUGAAUCGCUGAGAGGAGGUGCAUGGCCGUCGCCAGUUCGUACUGUGAAGCAUCCUGUUAAGUCAGGCAACGAGCGAGACCCGUGCCCACUGUUACCAGCAUGUCCUCUGGGACGAUGGGUACUCUGUGGGGACCGCCGGUGUUAAGUCGGAGGAAGGUGCGGGCCACGGUAGGUCAGUAUGCCCCGAAUCUCCCGGGCUACACGCGGGCUACAAUGGAUGGGACGAUGGGUCCCUACCCUGAAAAGGGGUUGGUAAUCUCACAAACCCAUUCUUAGUUCGGAUCGUGGGCUGUAACUCGC
rnacentral:rRNA from 1 species